rnacentral:rRNA from 1 species
UACGGAGGGGGCUAGCGUUGUUCGGAAUUACUGGGCGUAAAGCGCGCGUAGGCGGCUUUGUAAGUUAGAGGUGAAAGCCCGGAGCUCAACUCCGGAACUGCCUUUAAGACUGCAUCGCUAGAAUUGUGGAGAGGUAAGUGGAAUUCCGAGUGUAGAGGUGAAAUUCGUAGAUAUUCGGAAGAACACCAGUGGCGAAGGCGACUUACUGGACACAUAUUGACGCUGAGGUGCGAAAGCGUGGGGAGCAAGCAGG